GAUGAACGCUGGCGGCGUGCUUAACACAUGCAAGUCGAACGAUGAAGCCCAGCUUGCUGGGUGGAUUAGUGGCGAACGGGUGAGUAACACGUGAGUAACCUGCCCUUAACUCUGGGAUAAGCCUGGGAAACUGGGUCUAAUACCGGAUAGGAGCGUCCACCGCAUGGUGGGUGUUGGAAAGAUUUAUCGGUUUUGGAUGGACUCGCGGCCUAUCAGCUUGUUGGUGAGGUAAUGGCUCACCAAGGCGACGACGGGUAGCCGGCCUGAGAGGGUGACCGGCCACACUGGGACUGAGACACGGCCCAGACUCCUACGGGAGGCAGCAGUGGGGAAUAUUGCACAAUAGGCGCAAGCCUGAUGCAGCGACGCCGCGUGAGGGAUGACGGCCUUCGGGUUGUAAACCUCUUUCAGUAGGGAAGAAGCGAAAGUGACGGUACCUGCAGAAGAAGCACCGGCUAACUACGUG
rnacentral:rRNA from 1 species